rnacentral:rRNA from 1 species
GACGAACGCUGGCGGCGUGCCUAAUACAUGCAAGUAGAACGCUAAAGAGAGGAGCUUGCUCUUCUUGGAUGAGUUGCGAACGGGUGAGUAACGCGUAGGUAACCUGCCUUGUAGCGGGGGAUAACUAUUGGAAACGAUAGCUAAUACCGCAUAACAAUGGAUGACACAUGUCAUUUAUUUGAAAGGGGCAAUUGCUCCACUACAAGAUGGACCUGCGUUGUAUUAGCUAGUAGGUGAGGUAAUGGCUCACCUAGGCGACGAUACAUAGCCGACCUGAGAGGGUGGACGGCCACACUGGGACUGGGACAAGGGCCAGGAUCCUACGGGGGGGAGCAGGAGGGGAACUUCGGCAAUGGGGGCAACGCUGACCGAGCAACGCCGGGGUGGGGGAGAAGGGUUUCGGGUCGGAAAGCUCUGUUGUAAGUCAAGAAAGGGUGUGAGAGUGGAAAGUUCACACUGUGACGGUAGCUUACCAGAAAGGGACGGCUAACUACGUG